rnacentral:lncRNA from 1 species
ACACGACUAAAAAGUUACUAACAAAGAGAUAGAAACACAAGUAUUUUUAUCCUGGUUCGCUUGAAACUCGAAGCUACUCCAAUCCACCCGCCAAGGUGAUUUUUCCUUAGACACAAAGGACUUAAUCCACUAUACCCUCCAACUGUCUUCUUCUUUGUCUUCUCAGUGAUCCGACUAGACCCUAGUCUCCUUAAGGACUCACGAAGAAUAACCUUCUCUGUCUUCUCAAGGAUCCGACUAUACCCUAGUCUCCUUAAGGAAUAAAAAAACAGUUUGAAUAAUAUUUUGUGUGUUACAAGUUGCUUCUUCUAUACAAGCAGAUUUUACACAAAUGACAAAAAAAAACACUUAAAGAAAAUUGUGUACAAAAGAAUGAUAACUUUUUAAAGUUUUGCAGCGCUUUUCUAUACAUCUUCGUCGUCACAUUUUUU